rnacentral:rRNA from 1 species
GACGAGGGGUCCUAGCGUUGUUCGGAAUCAUUGGGCGUAAAGCGUGUGUAGGCGGCCAAAUAAGUCAGUUGUGAAAGCCCCGGGCUCAACCCGGGAAGUGCUUCUGAUACUGUUUGGCUUGAGUACUGGAGAGGAUAGUAGAAUUCCAGGUGUAGUGGUGAAAUACGUAGAUAUCUGGAGGAACACCGGUGGCGAAGGCGGCAUCCUGGACCGGCAUUGACGCUGAGGCGCGAAAGCGUGGGGAGCAAACAGG